ensembl:lncRNA
GCAGAGAUGACCCCCCCCCAUGGACCAGCCCUUUGAGAGGAGUCCCUGCUAAUGCCCCAUCCUGAAGCCAGACCCUCUGAGGCCAGUGCUAACUUAGGAGGCUUGGGGGGUCUCUAACAUGGGGCCUCUUCUCCAGCCUCCGUCAGCCCUGGGGGAUGGGGGUGACAAGGAGGGGACCAGCAGAGGUGGCUACUGUUGUUACUGUGGAAUAUUUUCAAAGGCAUGAAGGAUAAUGUGCCAUUCAGAUGAGGGGUUAGAGAUAGUUUUUGUGGUCCCUGUGGACAGAUGCUGUGUUGCGGCAACAAUAAUACGACAAACCGAGAGCUUCCACCACCCACCCCCAGUAAAUAUUGCCUGUAGAGCAAAGGGCUUCUCUUGUCUUCUCCCAGGGAGGCUAGGGGUCUAAUCGGAACUGUAGCUGCCAGCCUACGCCAGAGCCACAGCAACGCAGGAUCCGAGCCGUGUCUGCAACCUACACCACAGCUCACGGCAACGCCGGAUCAUUAACCCACUGAGCAAGGGCAGGGAUCGAACCCGCAACCUCAUGGUUCCUGUUCGGAUUCGUUAACCACUGCGCCAUGACGAGAACUCCGGCUUGGUCAUCUUAACAUGGCAGUGUCUGCGGACUGGAAUCUAUGUCUUUUCAUUGGCUGUACCUUCCUUCACUCAUUCGGUGGAUCUUGGGUUUUCUGCUGCUUCGAGCAGCCCUGUAUCUAGGUGAAUCUUUGCAGACAUUGAGAGGAAGGCCUGUGGGAUAAGGCCUCUCAGAAAUCUUUGACAGGGUGCCCUGGGAAGAGAUGUCCAGACAAGGGCUGCCCCAGGGGACCCUGGGGCUUCUGGGUGCUUGGGGGAGGGGCUGGGAUUCACCCAGACCAGGGCCAGGCCAGAGGAUCCCAGGGUGACCUCAUGGUCCUCAAAUACCCUGGGGCUGGGCCGGGUGGCAGCAGCUGCCUGGAGCAUCUCCGAGGACAGCACUGGAGGAGCCAGCUUAGGUGGCUGGCCAGAGAGGGAGGCCAGGCCCAGUUAGAAUUCCCAGGACGGGAUUCUCUUCCAAGACCAUGACAAUGGCUGUCUGAUGAUUAAGUACUUAGUACACUUACUACUACCUGCAUGAUCUCAGGGGGCCCUUACAGUAGGGGGCUUGUAUCCUCCUUUAUCUCCAUUUCACAGAUGGAACACCUGAGGGUGGGGGCGAAGGCAAGUAGUGGGGACAUCCCUCAGGCCCUCCAUGUGGGCUGUGUACCUCUUACCCCACGGGCUAUGCCAUGAUCACCAUUUGACAGAUGAGAAAACCGAGGCCCACUGUCACAUCUGGAGAGCUGCACGUUUGGCCCUGACCUCAGGUCUUGCUUUUUUUUUCCAUUUUUAAAAAGAAAUUUUUAUUUUUUGCUUUUUAGGGCUGCACCUGCAGCACAUGGAAGUUCCAGGCUAGGGGCUGAAUUGGAGCUGCAGCUGCCGGCCUACACCACAGCCACAGCAACACCAGAUCCAAGCCAAAUUGUGACCCUACACCACAGCUCAUGGCAACGCUGGAUCCUUAGCCCACUGAUCAAAGCCAGGGAAUGAACCUACAUUCUCAUGGAUGCUAGUUGGGCUCAUUACUGUUGAGCCACGACAGGAGCUCUUGUGCUUUUAUUUUUAUUUUUAUUUUUUGGCCAUCCCAUGGCAUAUGGAGUUUCUGGGCCAGGGAUCAGAUCGGAGCCUCUGUUGUGACCUCCACUGCUGCGGCAAUGCUGGAUCCUUAACCCACCGUGCUGGGUUGGAGACCGAACCUGUAUCCCAGUGCUCCUGAGACACUACCUAUCCCAUUGUAUCACAGAGGGGACUCCCCCCCAGGUCUUCUUUGAUGCCAUCGUUUUAACCACUGCCCUCCUGGCCUUCCUUCUGAAGGAGCCCAGGGUGGUCUUCCCUGUCCUAGACACCAGGGUUCCACACCACCAGGGACAGAGGGAAGUUUUCGAAGCCCACAGUUGGGGAACAUGGUCACUGCCACCAGGGCUGGGGCCUGGUGCUUCUGAGAGACAGGAGGCCCCUCAAGGAAGGCAAACCCUGUAUCCCCUGGGGCCUGGCUUGGCUUAGACGUCACUGCCUCCCCUAGGCAGCCCAUAGUCCCUGUUGUACUGGACAUCACAUCUUAGCUCCCUUGCUCUGCCUUCUCACUGGUGCCAUCUGCCUCCCCGUGGUGCCUGGGGUGCAGGAUGUCUGGGCCUGGCCGGCCUGUUCACUGCUGUGCUCUCGUCCCCUGCGCUUGGUGUGGCUUGAGCUGCGGGCUGAGGAGAGCAGCUGGAUUUCUUCAUGCCGCGUCCUCCUCUUCACCUAACUCUCCUCUCCUGUGGAAUAUUUUCCUCUGGAAGGUGAACAGCCUGUGUUUUAUUUGGCCGUAGGAGGCUGUUUAAUAAAAGACCUCACAUUGGGACAAGCGUUCCCCCCCACCCCCAAGUCUGCCAAGAUAAAUAGCUUUAAUUAUUCCUCAUUUGUGGCUGUAGUAGUUUUCCUGUUAGAGAGGCAAAGACUUGAAACGUGGCCCUUUUUUGUGUUGGGUUUUGGUUUUUGUUUUGUUUUCCCCUCUGAGCUGGUGGCUGCUUUUCCAUCUUGCCCUCCAUAGUUUCCCUCAUCUUACACGAGAAUGGAAGGUUCUAGGGAGGAGAGAAUUUGUCCCUAAGCAUUUAUCCCUGUUCUUCUGGGGUCCCUCUGACAUAGGUCUGUCCAGCCUGAAGAACUAAAGGGCCCCCUCGUUCCAGAGCAAAGGGGAAAGGGAGUGCUUACCUGUGGCUGCCCAAUGCCCAGCGUCCUCCAGUGGUUAAGUGACCUUCCCCAGUGCAGGCAUACCCUGGGCACCUGGACCUGCAUGAGGGGAAGGGGCCCAGCUUCUCUGACCCCUGGCCCUGGGGGUGCCGUGCAUAUCAGCAUCACCAGGCGCCGAGCCAGCCGCGUGCAGAGCCCUGGGUCUGUGCAAGGCAGACAUUAAACAAGGAGCCAACCUGCCACCAGGGCUUGUCCAGGAAGUGCUGGAGAAGCUUCCUGGCCCUCCUCCACCUGGACCAGUUGACAGGGAGGCAGGGGAAGAAAGGAAAGGUGCUAGGGAGGGUCUGAGGAGCCACAGGAGGCUGGAGAGAAGUCCUUUUGUCUGUGCUCUAGAGCUUAGGUCAGCGUGGGAUGAUGGAGGGGCGGAGUCGAGGCCAUGCACAUUAGUGGAAGCUUGUGAACCCCAUAAGGAUUGUGGACUUGUUCCAGAAGGCUCUGGGGGACCAUGGACGGGUGCAGGCAGAGGAGAGACCACUUGAGGCUGCAGCUCUUUCAAGGCGCCCCUGGGUGCCGGGCCCUUGUUUAGGCCCAGGAGUGAGGGUGGGGAACAGGGCAUUUCCUUCAAGCCUGGGACCAGGGAGCCCCAUGCCUCGGUGUCCCCCCAGAUUCUGUUGCCCUGGAUCCCACAGUGCUGUGCAGGGAGCCAGCAAGAAUGGUUCUGUGCUGGGCCGGGAGCAGGCAGCUGGCUUCCCAGCCUCCCUCUCCUGCCUGCCUGGCAGCUCCUUCUCUAGUCCUGGCCUUCUCCCCACAGCACAUGGUCCCUCUGGCUGCAGCCCCUGGCUAUGGGUGCAGCUAGACUCUGAGCCACAGGCCCAGUGGGGCCUCUCUCACUCCUCAUCCUUCCUACAAAUUGCCUGUCAGGCCUGGAAGUCUGCAACCUCCCCAGGCCGCAGCCAGGCUGUCCCAACAUCCCCAUUCUCCCUGCUGGGCCCCUGCUCCUGAGUGUGUCCCCUGCUCUCAGUACCACACUGCACAUUUCUGAUUACCAAGUGUUGGGGGGGGGGCGGUGUUCCCACACACAAAGCAUUUCUUAAGCAUCAGCUGGGUGUCCUGCAUUUUAGCCCAGUUUUGACACCAUCUGCCUGGAGGAAGCGUCAGAUCCCAAAGGUUGAGGCUGGGACCGUGAGUCCAUUCAUGCCAUUGCCAGGCUUAUAAUAAGGUUUUAUUGGCACAAAGCCAUGCCCCUUAACGUAUGGUGUGUGGCGGUGAAUCACAGGCCUGAAAAGCUGAAAAUAUUUACUGCCUGGUCUUUCACAGAUAAAGUUGGCUGCUGCUUGUUCUAGGAGGCAUGGAGAAGGGGUAUACACACUCUGUGCCGGAACACAGAUCCUGGAGCCAGCAGGCUGGGCCAUUUGCUGUGUGACCUUCAGUGAGCUACAUAACCUCUCUGAGCCAGUGGGGUUAUAAGGGUGCUUUGAGGGGUCCAUGGAAAACACAGGAACAGAACCUGGCACCUCAGCAGUUGUAACUCGCAGUCUGACAGCCCAGCCCCUUCUGGGUCUCAGCAGGAUGUGCGUGUGGGCCGAAACUUAGUAUUUGUGACAUGGAUACUUGGGGGCCUUGCUCCGAGGGAGCAAGAUGGAUGGGGUGGUUUUCAUACCCUCCUCCACCCCCGUGCACCCCAAUUGCUGCAUUCCCCUUGUAGUUAGUUGUUCCUGGCCAUCUGGCCCAUGGUCCCCUGGCCCCAGAGCCUGGGCAGUACUGACUUUGCCAUGUGGGAGGUGGGAGGCCAGCCCAGGGCAUCAGGCUGGGCCCAGGAACAGGGCGGACAUGUUUGUGGUGGCCAGGGCAUGGCUAACACUCCAUGUGCCAAGGGCCUUUGCCUCGCGCUCCCCUGUUCAGAGCCCGUCUGCAGUGAGCCUCUGACAAGCAGCCGGCCCAGGCGGCAGGCCUACCCAUCCAUUGCUAUCGGGGAGGGAAACACAGCUCUGCCUGACCUGGGUGGGCUGAAACCCAGCAUAGUCCCCAGGCCCGCAGCCCCCUUUGUGGUCAUCCCCAGUUAGAUUGUCAGGGCAGCCUGCUAGCCCAUCUCCCGCUCCCUGUCCCCUAUCUCUCUGGGCUGCAUGCAGGCAGCCCCUGAGUACGCCAGCCGAUGUGACAAGGGUGGUACUUUCUGGGUUGGUUUCUGGAGGCAGGACAGAGAUGGGUUCUGCCUCUUUACUGGUGCACCCACUGAAGAGCUAAAUAAAGGCGGGGGGGGGGGGGGAAUGGUGCCAGCCUUCCAGUCUGCCAGGAGGUUUCCUGAUAGAUGGGGCUGUGCCACUGCUGGGUCCAGGCCCUGUGGGCUCCAGACCCCUUUCCUGGGGAACCAGGAGGCAGGCUGUGCUCUGCCUGGUCACAGGUGAGCCUGAGCUCCAUGAAUGGUGUCUACUGGCAGGGAUAGGCCAGCACCACCAUCUCUGUCCAUUCCCUGAGGGCCUCUCCAUGUGAAAGGAGGGGAGAGGGGAAGGCCUGUGUGUGUGUGUGUGUCUGUGUGUGGAGGUGCACUGCCUGCUCACUGGGGGACUGGGACUCUGAGUGUGGCCCUGGGGAGGGAAGGGCUGAUGAAUGCAGCUCCUCAACUGCCAUUCCCAGAGCUUGGACUUUUCCUGAGGCUUUUCAGAGAGGUAGGAGCCUGGUCCAGCUUUUGUUUGUUUUUCAGAUAUUUACCGAGCUCUCCUGUGUGUUAUAGGGACUGGGCUGUGGGUGUAUAGCUGUGACAUAUAAAAAAUGCUGGCUCCAGGAGUUCCCGUUGUGGCUCAGCGGUAAUGAACCCAACUAGUAUCCAUGAGGAUGCAGGUUCAGUCCCCGGCCUCACUCUGUGGGUUAAGGAUCCAGCAUUGCUGUCGCUGUGGUGUAGGUUGGCAGCUGUAGCUCUGAUUCAUCCCUAGCUUGGGAACUUCCAUAGGCCGUGGGUGUGGCCCUAAAAAAAAAAAAAAAAAAUGCUAGCUCCUUGGGCUUUGAUUGUCCCGUGAUGGGACAGCCCAGGUUGCCCUUAGCCCUGGCUUCCCUGGCCCAAGCCUCUG